CACUACAUGGAUAAAUAUAAAAGAUUUUUUCUUAUUGAUUAAAUCUCUUUAAGAGUUAACUGACUGUUUAAACGAAAAUAAUGCAUUGUGUGGUUUAUAACAUGUAAAAGUAAAAUUUAUGAUAAUAGCACAAAGGCAGAGAAGGGAGAAAUAAAAGCAUACUAUCGUAAGUUUCUUAUAUGAAGUGAUAUAGCAUUGAAGGUAGACUGUCAUAAAUGUGUAUUGUAAACCCUGGGCUGCAUACAGUGGCUUAUACCUGUAAUCCCAGCUCUUUGGGAAGCUGAGGCAGGAGGAUCACUUGUGAGCCCAGGAGUUUGAGGCCAGCCUUGGCAACCUAGUGAGACCCUGUCUCUACAAACAUAUUUUUAAAAAUUCUUACCAAAACCUACCCUAAGGCAACUAUUAAAAUAACAAAAGACUUGUAGCUAAUAUGUCAAAAUGCGAUAAGAUGGAUUAUAAAAAUUACUCUGUUAAUCAAUAAAAUGGAAAAAGAUCAAAGAACAGAUGAGACAAAUAGGAAACAAAUGACUUGGCAGAUUAGAUAAAAAAGAACAAGACUCAACUCCAGGCUGCCUACGUGGAAUGUACUUUAACUGUAAAAACAGAGGCUAGUGUGGUGGCUUAUGCCUAUAAUCCCAGCACUUUGGGAGACAGAGGUGGGAGGAUCUCUUGAGGCCCAGUUUUCAAAACCAGCCUGGGCAGCAUAGACCCAGUUUCUACCAAAACAAAAUACAAACAAAUAGGUUAAAAGAUGGAGAAACUAUACCAUGCUAACGUUAACGAAAGGCUUAUUGUAGUGGCUGUAUUAAAGUCAGAUAAAGUAGAUUUCAGAACAAAGAAUAUUACCAAGGAUGAAGAAGGCCAUUUCAUAAUGAUAAAGAGUCAGUCCACAGGAUUUAACAGUCCUAAAUGUUUGUAUACCUAAAAACAGAGCUUUGGAAUUUAUAAAGCAAAAGCUAAUAGAAGUAGAGAAAUGGACAAAUCACAGUUAUAGGUGAUUUCAGCACUUCUUUUUAAAUAAUUGAUAGACUAUUUAGAAAAUCAGUGAGGAUAUGUAGUGAACUUUAACAGUAUUAUCAACCAACAUAAAUUAGUUGACAUUUACAGAACACUGCACCCAUAACAAGAGAAUAUACAUUUUCCUAACUGCUCACAGAACAUGUACUAAGAUAGAUCAUAUUUUUAGCCAUAAUACAAGAGUCAGUAAAUUUUGAAAGAUCCACUGUCCAAUCGUACGUAGUGGGAUUAAAUGGUAAAUUAAAGCAAAUAGAACCUUGGAAAAUCCCCAAAUAUUUGGAAACUAAAUAACACUUCUAAUUAACCCAUGGAUUAGAGAAGAUAUCAAGAGAGAAAUUAGUAGAUGCCACUGACCUGCAGUGCUUAGGAAAAUGUAUAGCACUAAACACCUAGAUUAGAAAAGAAAGGUCUCAAAUCAAUGACUUAACCUUCCACUUACUAGAACAAGAGCACAUAAGCCCAACUAAGCAAAAGAAACGUAGUGGUAAGGAACGAAACAAUUCAGUGAGGACACAGAGAAACAAUAAAGAAAAUCAAGGAAAUGAAAAGUUUGAGGACAUCGAUUGAUAAACCUUUAGCCUGCCUGACCAGAAAAAAAAAGAAGAGGAAAGACAUAUGAAGAAUGUGAGUUAUGAUAUCACUACAGACUGUACAGGUAUUAAAAGGAUAAUUAGAGAAUGAUAUGAGCAGCUAUAUGCAAAUAAAUUCAGCAUUGGAUAAAUGAACAAAUUU